UGAUGUCAGUGAAGUUUCUGCGACCUCUGUCACCCCAUUGAUCGCCAGGGUUGAUUCAGCUGAUCUGGCUGGCUAGGCGGAUGUCCCCUUUCUCCCUCACCGUUCCAGGUGCGAGGAGGACGACCAUCCCCGAAAGAGGAGGACCGGUCUUCGGUCAAGGGUAUAAGAGUAGCUGAGCUCCCCUGCUAGAACCUCCAAACAAGCUCUCCAUCCUGUAUUCUUUACAGUUUGCUAUACCAGAUCACUGUGCUCAGCUUGUUAUCU
rnacentral:snRNA from 1 species